UGGGGAAUAUUGCACAAUGGGGGAAACCCUCAUGCAGCGACGCCGCGUGAACGAAGAAGGUAUUCGUAUCGUAAAGUUCUGUCCUAUGGGAAGAUAAUGACAGUACCAUAGAAGAAAGCUCCGGCUAAAUACGUGCCAGCAGCCGCGGUAAUACGUAUGGAGCGAGCGUUGUCCGGAAUUAUUGGGCGUAAAGGGUACGCAGGCGGUUUAAUAAGUCGAAUGUUAAAGAUCGGGGCUCAACCCCGCAAAGCAUUGGAAACUGAUAAACUUGAGUAGUGGAGAGGGAAGUGGAAUUCCUAGUGUAGUGGUGAAAUACGUAGAUAUUAGGAGGAAUACCAGUAGCGAAGGCGACUUUCUGGACACAAACUGACGCUGAGGUACGAAAGAGUGGGGAGCAAACAGG
rnacentral:rRNA from 1 species